ensembl:snRNA
GUGUUGUAUGGAAGGAGAAUAUGGUUAGCAAUUUGCCUGAUAAGGACAGAAGGGGUCUAAGUGAUCUUACAACACAAUUAAGGAUAAGACAUUUCCACCUGCUUUGUGACAUCCCUGGCCAGUU